rnacentral:lncRNA from 1 species
UCGGGACUCAUGAUAGAAGGACUGUAUCACAUGAUAACUGCACCAAAAAGUUCAGUAUUCCAUUCUACUGGAAUGCCACUACAUGCUGCUAGGCGUCACUGGUGGAUUGUGAGACUCAUGAGAAUUAUCUAGAUGAUCGAUAAUUCUCAUUGGGCUGAGUUGUAAUUGUUCCAAUCCACUGAAAGGAGUUUCAGUGAUAUUGUUGAUAGUGAUCAAAAUAUAUCUCACUAUCAAAUAGAAUAGAACCUAUGGGGUCACACACAUAAGAGGUUGUGAUUGAUCGGAUAGCUAGAUUGCGAUUAUUGAAUCGCCGAA